AUUUAUAUAGUUUAGCAAAAACAUUACAUUUUCAAUGUGAAAAUAGAAUAUUUUCUUUUAAAUA
rnacentral:tRNA from 1 species